rnacentral:lncRNA from 1 species
CUGCUAUAGUCUCAAACUUUGGUACGUUUCCUUGCUGUUGUAAUAGAUCUGCAAGCCAAGCGUCAAUGCGAUGAUUUGCAAAAUCUGUGACUGUGAGUUGUACUUUAGGAUGAUUCCAAAUCUGUUGUGUCCAAGGGCACUGUAGAAAUAAAUGUUCUGUUGAUUCGGGGGAGCGGGUAGAACAGAGAACACAAAAUGGAUCAGUGGUGAUUCGG